rnacentral:rRNA from 1 species
CCUACGGGUGGCUUCAGUGGGGAAUAUUGGGCAAUGGGCGCAAGCCUGACCCAGCAACGCCGCGUGAGGGAAGAAGGCUUUCGGGUUGUAAACUUCUUUUCUCAGGGACGAAGAAAGUGACGGUACCUGAGGACUAAGCCACGGCUAACUCCGUGCCAGCAGCCGCGGUACUCCGUAGGUGGCAAGCGUUAUCCGGAUUUAUUGGGUGUAAAGGGCGUGUAGGCGGGAGCGCAAGUCAGCUGUGAAGACCCAGGGCUCAACCCGGAGCCUGCAUUUGAAACUGUGUUUCUGGAGUGCGGGAGAGGCAAUCGGAAUUCCGGGUGUAGCGGUGAAAUGCGUAGAUAUACGGAGGAACACCAGUGGCGAAGGCGGAUUGCUGGACAGUAACUGACGCUGAGGCGCGAAAGCGUGGGGAGCAAACAGGAUUAGAUACCCGGGUAGUC